CAGUGAGAGGCAUGCUUCCUUAGACCAGGCAACAUUUCAUUUGUUGCAUUUCCAGUUUCCAAUACCAACUCACCUACAAAGAUUUUACCAAAAACCUUAGGACCAAUAAAUGUGAAUGUUGGACCCCAAAUGAUUAUAAGCACACCACAGAGACUAACCAGUUCAGGAAGUGUUCUGAUUGGGAGUCCAUAUACCCCUGCACCAGCAAUGGUUACUCAGACACACAUAGCAGAAGCUACUGGCUGGGUCCCUGGGUAAGAGUGUUGCAAGUUACUAUUUUUAAAACCUUAAAAAAAGUUUAGACAUUUUUUUCUUACUAUCUUGUCUUCUGUUCUUGUUUUAGUUUAGUUCUUAAAAACAAAUGUUUUUCCUUUAAAAUCACCUAUUUUAUUUCACUUUAUAUCUUAGAUAUAAAUAAUCUCUGGAAUAACUAUUUUUAAACAGAAAAAAACAGUGCAAUAACUCAUAACUAAACCCUGUGACUUUUUAAACUCUGGAAUAGGACUACUUUUAUUAUUAUAAUAUUUAACUGCUUUGGAGAUAUAAAAACUAUAUUUUUAUAUAUUUUUAACUCACACAGAAAAGGAGUUAAAUAUUAAGUGUUGGCUAUACUCAGAAUUUCCCCUAUGAAUUACUUCCAUAAAGACCAGAAAAGGGUAGGAAAAGAGGCCAGAUAAAUUUUUUAUUAAAUUUCCUCUUCUUUUUAAACGCUGAACAAUUGAAUCAAUAUCCCUUCUGUUACUAAUUUGUCACUUUUAGUACAAACUUCUAUAUGUUUCAUCUUUGCAUGUAAAAUACUUAUACCUUUCUCCACUCUUUAUCAUUUUAGUACCUCAUACUUCCAUAAAAGAAAAAUAAGUAAGAUAAAUUACUCAAAACCUCAUUUUGUUACCUUAGACGUUUUGUUACUUUAGAAGUUAUUUACAUGGUGGAAUACUGCAUUGGUGAUUCUGUCAUAUGUGAGUUUGAGCAAGCAGAUGGUAAGUCUUAGUUAAGUAAGAAUC
rnacentral:lncRNA from 1 species